rnacentral:lncRNA from 1 species
AAUGAAUGAAUGAAUGAACAAACAAACAGUAAAGUUUGAAAAUAAAUGUUUGAUAGCUUAGAAUUGAGUUAUUGCUCAGUAGGAACAUUGGAUUUGAAACUCUAAUUUUGUAUUCUGUCGUUCUAGAGUGACCCCCUAGUGUUUAGUUUACAUGUUUAGUUUCCCAGAGGAGCAGAAAGGAGACAAAAGUUGAUGACUCCUGAAUUGGAAGUUCUUUCUUUUGAGUUCCUCCUUGUCUUCUCGCCGUAUUGUACCAGCCACUCUCCAUUGUCUCUAGCUUGACAGAUCUACAUGGGUAGUCUUGUCUUCCUCCUCCAAUUUCAGUUCAAAACACUCCUUGAAGAGAUUGGUCAAGUUGAUAAAAGCAAUCCAAGAGUCUUCAAUUUUCACGAGCCACAAAAGUGAAAAAGGGAGGAUCUUUUUUUUUGAAGUAUCAGCAGGUGGGCUAUGGAACUUGGCGGAAAGCACAAAAGAUCUGAGGAUAAAGGAACCCAAUACCAAAGGGCCCAGAAGCCAUCCUUAGCCACCCUCUUCAGGAAGCAACAGGGCAGAAGAUCAGUAAAAUCCAAGGAGAAGAUUUUCCUCCUCACUUCAAGUGGUAGAAGACACUCCAAGUCCUUGGGAGAGCUGCUUUAGUCGAAUGCCCAGAAGCAUUAAGCUGUCAGGAUGACUAGAAGCCUGGAGCUAUCAGCCUUCCAUUUCUAGCCAAGGUGGAUGCAGUGCCAAGGGAAAACAUUGUACCAAGUUCACCCAACCUCUCUGAAUCACCGACUCCAAAGGAGGGACUCAAGAAGCAGAGAGGAAGAAGCCCUGAAUCUGGAAUCAGAAGACAUGAGUCCUGCCUUUGCCCCUUACUACCUGUGGGACAUUGGCCAAGCUAUUAAAGUUAUAUGGGCCUCAGUUUCCUCUUAUAGGAACUGGGAAAAAAAACUUGUAGCAUCUACUACAGAAGAUUACUGUGAAAGAAAAGCAAUGCCUUCUAUAAAUGCAAACUAUUAUUAAUAG